AGCAGAAAUUUCACCUGAAACACAGCCUUUCACUAAGGUAGAGAGAAGAACCUCAUCUCGGAGCGGGGCAGACACGUCAAACCGUGACCGGAAACAAUAAACGAACGCGCGAAAGAAAGGCGUCCUGGGAUCGACAUCCGCAGUUGCAGUUGCUGCACCAUCGCUGCUCUUGCUUCACCUCCUCUUCUUUUUUCGUCGCUGUUUUUUUUUUUUUCGUUUGCUGCGUUUUCGUCGCAUCUUGUUCCUUCAAGAGUGCGUGACAUUCUUAGGUGUUUGCCCUUUAUCAGUCGCCUUUUUCCUUUUGAUGCAUACAUACAAGGACCUCAGACUAUCACCUCCCUCUCACCCAUUUGUUUUCAUUGUUGGAUUGUAAUAUUAUUAUUAUUUUAUCUUUGUUUAUGCUCGGCUUUUCCCUCGCCGCCUUGCUUUUUGUUUUCUCUGUGUGUGUGUCUUUAACCGUUUCAGUCCUCUCAUUUUUGCUCAGCUUUUCUCUGUAGCACUUCCGCUCUGCCUGUACAUACACACCCAAACAAGUCUACGCGCACACCCCCGAUCCGCACGCACCGUUUUGUAGGUGGACACGACACACUCUCGCGCCAUUAUCAUCCUUCUUUUGUUUUUGUUGUUCAAAUAUAUUUUCUUUCAUGUCUUCUUUGUCGUUCACCCUCGCCUCUCUCAUCGUCAGCCGCAUUUGCGAUUUCCCUCCCCACUCUCCCUCUCAAAGAAGACACAUCUCCGCACAGAAGAACGGACCCCGAUUUGAGACUGAGGACACACUUUCUUUUUACCUGUAUUCGCUCCUGCCACGUCCUUCUUUGAUCAGAUGCCAAGCACUCGCUGCAGCACAUCGUCACAGUCGCGGCGAACUGGAACUGCUGCAGCAGAUCUGGCUUCAAGAUCCCCCACGCGCUCCAUGCGCCGCACUAGGCAGGAAAAGGGCAAGCCCUGCUACGAGGCGGUCGAAACCAGGGAGGAGGUGACAACCUAUAUCGUUACAGCGAAUCAUGUACACGCGGCUGUAGAGCGCUCGCCGCCGCACCAGGAACACGUGCUGAAAGGCAGUGAUAGACGCACACAAAGUUGCAGUGGAGCUGCUCGGCAGGAAUACCCUCGAUUGGCGUAUUACGGCAAUGACCGCGCUCCACGGACGAAUCAGAGCGCCCCCGAAAUGACGGGCGACAAUGCACGGCGGAGGCCGCAGUUCGGUGCUCUCGCCGUUGACCCUGGCAGCCGCUACGGCAGCGCAGCCAAUCGCGGCCGCCCCACCUGCAGCGACAACGCGACGUCGAACUUUGCGACGCGCAGGCACGCCGCUGGUGCUCAUCCAUCACGCUCCUCCCGCAUAGUGAAGGCCCCGGCCGAUAUUUCGACGCUGGAGGACUACAAAACGCCGACACGCCGUCGCCGAAGUGGUGGGCGCUACGCGUAUGAUCACGGUGUAGGGCAUACGGAGGCUCCUCCAGCGUGGCGCGGUGGCCGCCACGGCCGUCGAAGCUUCCCUGCAGACGUGCACGCGCAUGACAACGUCGAUGUGGAAGAGACGGAGACGAACUCUGCUGCCGCAGCCGCUGCAGCGGAGCCGUACCACUUUCGGAUUCGUCUGCACGAGUGUCGAGGCGUUUUUGCCGAUCUGAAGGCGUCAUGCCGUCCUCCACCUGCGGUCUACUUUGCCGUGCACACCGUGGAGGAACGCGGCCACUCUGACAUUGCAGACAAGGGCAGCUACAACCCCGUCUUCUACGACGAGUUCAUGUUCUCGUCGGCCGACCCGGAGCACGACGCGCUGGUGUGCACGCUGGUGGCGGCCAGCUCAGUGAACACCUCGCGCGGGAGCCGCAUGCGACGGGACAAGAAGGUGGCAGAGUGCGUGCUGGCGCUGCACAACUUAGCGUGGCAGGUGGAGCGGAAGGUGUGGGUGCCGCUGGUGCGACACCCUGGAACCUCGCAGGCGUACGAACAGGGCGAGGUGCUGGUGAGCAUCUACUCUGCCGACUUCGGCUACGACGAUGUGGCGACAGAGGAGGAGGAGGCGGCGUGCUCUGCUGCCAUCCACGACACACUGACCCGGUACGCUCCGCAGGAGCUGCACCGACUGGACUGGAUGACGUCUGCGUAUGUGAACAAAGGCCCCGAGGCGCUGUCUCAGUUACGCGCGUCCUACCGGGCCCGCACAGUCGAACCCGUGCCGGUGCGCGUGACGGUGCAGCGCGUCGAAGGCUUGACGGACGAAGCUGGGGGUCCGACUCGGGCCUCCGAUAUCUACGUGGUGGUCGGGGACGGCCGCGUGGAGCGGCGGUCCAAGACGGUGCCGUACCGCCGCUGCGCCACCGUCAAUCAGGAAUUCAACCUUGCCCUCGCUAAUCCGGCGGUGGACGCUCUGAGCGUGACCGUGCUCGGCAACGGCCGCAAGCUUGGGGAGGCCGUCGCUGGGCUGACGAACGUGCAGGCCGGGAAGGCGAAGGAAGUGACGCUGAUGCUCGUGCGCGCUGCCGAAACUGGCGAUGCCUCGAACGGGGGACAGGUGACGCUCACACUUCAGACCGAGAAGUACAGCAGUCCAUACCAAAUGUCCGCCAAGCAGGAGGCUCGACUGCGCGAACGCGUGCUGGCGCACUUGUGGUGUUAUCUUCGUGACGAUCUGCACCGCCUUGACGCCAUUGUGGGCAGCAUUGACAACGAAGAGGUGUAUAUGCAGAAGUGGGCUCGCACCGUCGGUCCCGAACAGAAGCCGAGGCGGCUUCAGGUGAGCGUACGAGAGGCACGCAACAUAAUCGCCGACGGCGGGCUGCCGCCGCGGUGCUACGCGCGCAUUACUGCCGGGCCGACGACCGUACGUACAGAACUUGCCACCGUCCGCAACGGCGUCGUGACGUUUAAAGACUCCUUUAGAGUGCAGGUGUACGAUCUUGCUCACGACGCUGUCGAAGUUAUGAUCGUCGCGGAGGGUGAUGACGGGGAGCGGGAGAUGAGCCGGGUGUGCUUCGGCGUCGCCACCCUUCCUCGUCAAUGCCUAGUCUUGCGCACGCUUCAUCUCGUCUCCGCGGCGACGAAGCGCGCUGCCCACGUGCAGGGCGAGCUGACGGUGGAGCUGUUGGCAGAGGACUUCGGACUCACUGGCGCGUUGGCAGUCGCUGCGGCGGAAAACACCAGUUUCGCCUCUAGUGUGCACAUGCAGCGACUGGAGGCCAUUAUGCAGCGCAGCUCACCAGAGAAGCUGCACCGCGUGCCGUACAUGCUUGACACGGCGCCGCCCGGUAAGGCCGAGCGCGUCGUCGAGGAUGAGGCAAAGCAGCACGGCGGCGACGUGGCGGUGGCGCCGAUGACUGUCAAGAUCCUCGGCGUCAAGGCAUUUAAACCUGCCGUGGAUUUCUACGUGAAGGUGUACCUCAAUAACGAGCCGAUUCUUCGCACCGGAGAUGUGAGAGGGUCGACUGUGGUUACCAUAGAUAUCGAAGACAACAACGAGGCGACGGUCCGGCUGAAAGAUGCCCCGCAGGCUGUCAUGACCUUCAAGAUCGCUCAGCACCGUACGCUUCGAAAGACGGCGGUGCUCGGCGAGGCCGAGGUAGCCUUGGUGAACCUCGUGAGAGGAGAGAAGAACGUGCUGUGGGUGCCCUUCUUCCAGCCGGCGAAGGCGUCGGCGUCUGGCAGCGGUGGCGAAAGCCGACGCUGCUCGGCGUCGUGCACAUCUGACAGCCGGGACAACGUUGUAAAGUUGAAGGGAAAUCGCAUGCCAAACUCAAACGGCACCGCGGCCGCUCGGCAGCAGCGAUUGCCGGGCGCGUCACUGGCACGCCACGGCGCCGCUGCCGCCUCGCCUGUCGGCAUGCUGGGUCUGGAGCUGCAGUCUAAUGCCUUUCCGGAGACCACCGUCACAGAGUACAAGCUGGGCGACGAGUCGGGGCGGAAGGGCGUAUCGGCGCAGGAGGCGGUCACAGAGGACGUGACGUCGCUGAUUGCCAAGAUGAGGCCGAGCGAGUUGCCAAAGGUACAGCCCAUGAUUGCGCAGUGCACGUCGUUGAAAAGUGCGCACGACGAGCUCCGCGCAGAAUUGUCGACGAGGCCGAUCUUGUGCACUGUCUACGUGAACAUCGAAUCCGUGGAUCUUGCGACAGAGACGGGCAAGACGCAAGAGGCGCAGGGCGGGGUCGCGGUGGAGGCGGUCUACGGUAGCGAGCGUCAAGAAUCGCGCAAGCGGACGGGGUUUGCGAAUGACGCGCUGCAUCAGCGACAGCUCUACACCCAGAUCCGCCUCGAUAUCCCCGCAAAGCUUGACGGCGCCAUUAGCGGCCGCAAUGGUGCCACUUCGAGAUCUGCAGCGUAUGCCAAGGGGGCGCCAGCCCUCGAGUUGCGCCUGAUUGGCGUUCACGGCAACGAGGGCGCAUCAGGCGCGGUGCUGAUCCCGGCUGGGGGCCUUGCUAGUGGCGGCGCAUUCGGUGAGGGUAGUAAGGGCGCCUAUCACUAUGACGCGGCCGAUAGCGACUCCGAUGCCACGGCGGACCCCUACUACGCGGGCGGCGAGAACAAUCUUCACAGCUACAUAAGGUUCCCCCAGAACCGCGGCCGACUCCGGAGCACCACGCAGCCGGAGGAGGAGCACAUGAGGCGUCCGUCGAAGAUGCGCAUUAUGCAGCAAGGGCAGCGGCAGUCGCACCCACACCGCAACGGCGGAUCCACCGUCUCAUCGCACUCUAACCACUACCACAAUAUCCCUGAGGAUCAGUACAGCAGCUAUCGCGAAGAGGACGGCAAGCGCUACCUCGGAGGCGCGAACAACAUUCACAGCUACGUGGGCUCUCCAGGGCAAUCUUUCCGGCACAGCAUCGCCGGCUCGGAGCGGACGCCGCCCCGCCACCAGGUCGGGCUGGCGAAUGCGAGUGGCAGCAACCGGCAGGCCGGCAGCACGUCUCGGUCUUCGACCGCCGCGUCGGUGGCGUACAAGUGGAGCGCCCCGUAUAGAGGCGAAAUCGGUGUCGUUCGCCUGUCCCUGCGCGCGCUCUUGACGAGGCCGCUGUACACGAUCGGCGACACGCUCCGUGUGCCGAUCGUCGCACCAGUUAUUCCAGCCAAGCUGUCCUACCAUGCCCGUUGUUCCCCUGCGGUUAACCAACGCUGCAUCGUUGGCCACGUCACGCUGCGGCUAACACUGCCGGCCUUUGAGCACGUUCCUGAGUCACUGCGGCUGGGCGGCCACAACAACAUGUCGAAGGUGGUGCCGGGCUAUGUGCACUACUAUGAGCGGCGCAUCAGCGCAUACUUGCGGUCGCACAACGCGCGGGACCUGGUGUCAUUCCACUACGAUUUGUACGAGCGAGACGUGGUGUCCGGGUGCUGGCCGGUGUCCCUGCCCCAGUGGAUGCAGACGCUGAUCAAGCGAUUUGGUCCCGAGACAGAAUACGUCGGUCCGGUGCCCUCGCUCCCUUUAGUCCCCGAAGAGUGGGAGCUCGUGCGGCAGCGCGCCGACGCGUUGCGCCGUGAGCGGGAGGCGGCUCUCGCGCCAUGGAAGCAGGGCAGCAAAGUCGGCGAUGACCAUACCGACGACCACAUCGACGUUUACUCCAGCCGCGGUGCGAGCCCCUCUGUCCACUCACGCGGCAACUCCCCAGGCCGCAGCGCAUGGGCGGAUAGGAGGAAGGGCAGCAGCGUGAACGGGAGACUCGAUGCAGGGACGGCGUCAGCGGAGGCGGUGCACCGCUUCUAGUGCUCAGAGCACCUGCCAGAGUGCUUGCUUUGAUGCCGAAGUUGUCUCUUCCCCUUUGGCGUUCGCCUUCUGUGGACGCGCUGUGACGAACUACCCAUGCUGAGUGAACCGCGUCUUUCUUGAGGGUCCGCUGUCGUGACGGGUGCACCGUUGGCUUUCUCUCUUCUCUUUGUCCCGCUCAAGCUGUCUCAUGUUUGCUGCAUUCUCUCUUUCUGCCCGUUUCUCUCACAUGCGCGCGGUCUUGCACGGGCCACCUGGUGUAUAUGAACGUAUAUAUAUAUAUGUGUACAUGUGCGUGUGUGUGUGUUUAAAUCACGUGCUCUCGCUCGUCCCUCGUCGAUUGCGUUUCCAAUGAACACCAUCUUUUUUUCGUCCCGCUCGAUUCCACUCGGUGCGCGUUUUCGCUUUCCUUCCGUUGCGUGAGUUGUCUUUUUUGGUGUUCCUUGACGUGAGGCGCUUUAUUGCGCCGCCGUCUCCUCACUCUUGGUUUGCUCCGACAGCCGUCUUUGUUUUGCCGUGGCGCCGCUACCUUUCGGGCAUGUGUGUCGGUCUGGGCAUUCCUUUAUUUAUUUAUUUAUUUUUUUCGGGGUGUGCCGUCGCUGACGUUUGUGUUCUCCUUGCUGUCCUCUCCCCACCGCACGCACUCCGUCUCGAUUCGUCCAGAAGGGGUACAGGCCUCUUCCACACCAGCGGGUUCUUUCGCACAGGGAGGCAGUGUGUGGGGUACAGUUUGAUGAUGGUGUUUGGUUAGCGGGAGGAGAAGGUAGGAGAGAAUAACAGUGACACAAUUCAACGUGCUGGUCGAGGCCUGUUGUUUCGUCCAUCCGCUUUUCCGCCCCCCAUUCCUCUCCUCACCCUUCUUCCUCCAUCGAUGCAUGAUGUGACGGAGGCGUCCUUCACGACUCCAUGCGUCGUCAAGCCUAGCAGUGGUAGUGUAUUUUGUUGCUGUUGGGCACACACACACACACACACAGACUCUUUCUCUGUAUAUAUCUGUGUGCAUACUUGUGCUUUUUUUUCGUUAGAAGGCCCUUUUUCUCUUUUCCACUCGCUUGUUCUUUGUCUCCUGGGGUGCUGCACAAGUGAAGUCUGUCAUGUACAUCGUACCUCUGUGCCUGCCCCCUCCCUUACUGGGUUGGCAUGUGCCCCUCUCCCUGAAUCCUGUCUGUGUGUGCGUGUGGGUGCGUAUGGUGAGGCUCUACAUGGUUUGCGUGGUGUGUUGAUGUGCUUCACCAUUUUGAUGAUAUCACUCAUAGUUGUCUCCAGCGAGAAAAGAAGAAAAAGCUUGCAUGCAGCACUUUAGUAUGUGCGCAUGCUUGUGUGUGCGCGCGUGUGUAUCGCGCGCUGUGCCACAUGUGCCACGAACACGCAGAUGACCCUGCUUUCAGCUUCUCCGCUGGACUCCGUGUUUUUUUUUUUCCGCACCUUCUCACGCAUCUUUGGAGAGCGCUAGCACCGCGUUUGCUGUUUACUCCUUAAGGUGACAGAGCCGGUGCACUGCCGGAGCACAGGUGUAGGAUGCGUUAUGUGCGAGGAUGGCAUGCGCCCUGCACCUCACGCAGACCUCUGCAGUCGCCAAGGACCACUCAUCCUUUGCUUUUCCGUCUUGUUCGUACGUGGACGGUGCUGUGCUGAUCUCUCUCUCUCGUCCCGCGAUUGUGCCUCUGCGCCCACCAUGCUUACGGGCCCCAACCCGGCUGUCACCACAUGCUCGUAAUCGUACACGCAUCUCAUCCAUAUAUCCUCGCGCUGAUGUGUACGUUGAGUUGCAAAG
rnacentral:misc_RNA from 1 species